rnacentral:rRNA from 1 species
UGCCGGUAAUAAACCGGAGGAAGGUGGGAUGACGUCAAAUCAUCAUGCCCCUUAUGACCUGGGCUACACACGUGGCUACAAUGGUUGGUACAACGAGUUGCGAGUCGGUGACGGCGAGCUAAUCUCUUAAAGCCAAUCUCAGUUCGGAUUGUGGGCUGCAACUCGCCUACAUGAAGUCGGAAUCGCUAGUAAUCGCAGGUCAGCAUACUGCGGUGGAAUACGUUCCCCGGGGCCCGUU